AUUAAAAGCCUCUAUAUAGUGACAAGAGUGGAAACAAGGGGAGGAAAAAGGAAAAAGUAAAGAGAGGGGCAUUUAUAUUUAUAUAUAUAGUAGUAGUAGAUGGAUGGGAGAUUCACGAGGGACAUCCAUCCAUUUUCUGCAAAACCCAAAGCAUGCAUGCUUCUUGUGUAUGUGCGUAUUGCAUCAGCCAUAGGGCAUCAAUAACACACACACACACACCAAAAGCCCCACUUCCUUCUUAUACCUUAAAAUGCUACCUCAAAUAGACUAUUACCCUUUCUUCAUUAUUUGCUCUUUCUUGAAUCCAUUCUUGUUAUAUAUAUAUAUAUAUAUAUAUAUAUAUAUAUAUAUAUAUAUUUGUAUGUUGGUUUUUGAGAGGUUGAAGCUGCCAGCAUGAUCUGGUACGAACAAAGUCCAUUUCUUUCUAUAUAUAUAUUUUCUUGCAAAGAAUAAAAGAAAAGAAAGUCCAUUUUUUCUUAAAAUCUUGAGGUCUAGCUUUUCCUAUUUUGGGUUUGAACUUAGCUAAGUGAUUUGGAAAAAAAAAUGGAAUUUUGCAAAGUUUUUAUUGAAAGAGAAUAUAGGUAGCUUUCAUAGGUUUGGUUCCAUCAGGUCAUCUAGCAGCUUCAAUCACUCACCAACAAUACAGAAACAAAUUAAAAGGCUUCAUUUGAGCUUGACUUAAUUCUCAAGGAUAUAUAAUCAAGACAUUGAUUUAUCUCAGGUAAAUGAUUGGUAUGAUUUUUCAUUACUUGGUGCCCCUUCAACAACUAUUUGAAGAAUAUAUGACCUCGUAAAUUUGACAUUGUUGUGUAUGCUGAAAUGUUUUAGUCAUCUGCCUAUUGGAGCUUAAUUUAUGCACCUAUACGUAUAUAUGUAUGAAUGUCUAGCAAUACCAAUUUGGCCUUUUUUUAGAGUUUAAA